GAUGAAGAACGCAGCGAAAUGCGAUAAGUAAUGUGAAUUGCAGAAUUCAGUGAAUCAUCGAAUCUUUGAACGCACCUUGCGCCCUUUGGCCAUUCCGAAGGGCAUGCCUGUUUGAGUAUCAUGAACACCUCAACUCUUCAUGGUUUUCCAUGAUGAGCUUGGACUUUGGGGGUCUUGCUGGCCUGUGGGUCGGCUCCUCUCAAAUGAAUCAGCUUGCCGGUUAUUGGUGGGCAUCACAGGUGUGAUAACUAUCUACGCUUGUGGUUUUCCACCAGGGUAACCUUCAGCAGUGGAGGUUCACUGGAGCUUACAAAUGUCUCUCCUCUGUGAGGACAGCCCUUUGAAUGUUUGAUCUCAAAUCAGGUAGGACUACCCGCUGAACUUAAGCAUAUCAAUAAGCGGAGGA
rnacentral:misc_RNA from 1 species